GCGAUAGACCUGCGCGACUGCGCCGGCAUCCUGCCCUCUCUCCUCACUCCCCCCUCCCGCGAACCCUAGCUGCUCUGUGCCGCCGCCGCCGCUCUCCGGAUCUGUAGCUCCGUUUUCGCUAGCCUCUGUUGGUUCCGGAUCUGACCGCUCGCCGUCCGUCGUUGCCACCGCGGCCGCCAUAGGAAAGGGGGUGGCUAGAGUUUGGUGCUACUGUCUGUUCCUAGUUCGGCCGUGGUCGUCUUUCUCCUGCAUUUCAGUUUCAGCAAUCUAACAUCUUAGAAAUCUCAAAAUGGCAUCCAAGUAUCCUAUGUUUACUGCUGACCAUACAGGAGCUGCAUCAUCAUCGUUGGUUUACGAAAAGUAUGAGAGCACUGAAGGCAAUGUUUUCAAGGAUGAUGCAAUUGACGUGAAGAGUUACAUACAGAUAAGGCAUGCGGUUGCUAUGGCGCCUAACAGUGCAGAGGCGGAGGGUAAAAUGGAGAUUCCAGGUGAAAUUGUUAACAGUAAGAGUGUAAGACCUACAGGACUGCUACAGAAACUGGGAAGAAAAUUGGUAGAACAAUUCUCAAAGGAAUGCGGAAGAGUGAGCUUGCUGGUCUGUGUUACACUGAUUUCAGCAUUGCAGACGUUUUUGUCAGUACAUCUGGAAAGGCCAAGCUGAAAGGAGUCCGGCGCAUCAAGUUUUGUAUGACGCAGCAAUUUAACAACUAUGGCGCAGUGUGUGCAAUCAUGACGGAGCUAUUUACACUGAAUGGGCAGAUCCCAGCGGAAAUUCAACGUCUGAUUAAUCUCAUGCGAACAAGGUUUGACUUGAGAUUCAUGUAUCAUCUUCACGGAUCUUUAGUGCCCAUUGCUCGUUCUACUCUUUUGUACAAAACACUAUAUGAGCAGCUAGAGAUAUCCACUAUGGACAAAGCAAGAAAGGACGUGAUUCUUUUGGGUCUCCCUCUCUUGUCUCAGUGGAAGGGGCUCGUAGCCACGAACUGGCUACUGAAGUGCACAUUUGACCACAAGCAGAAAGAGUACAAUGAUGGUUUGGGCAGAUAUACACGUCCCCCCCUCCCUCUACAAGCAACUGCAAGGCAGAAACUUGAUAGAAAGCUGCUGGAGGCCCAGGACUUCCUCGACUAUCUCCGAAACAGAGGAGCGCACCGGAUGGAAUAUCUAGGACAUUUCUAUACACGGUCUCGGAAGAAGUACACGGCUGAUGGCUCGGACAGGGCUUGUGAGGUUCGUUUCGCGGAAGUAACAUGUUACUUGCAGGAACAACUGUCUGACCAGAUCCAGCAGAUGAACACCAGCGAAAUUGUUUGAUUGAUUGUGUGAGCAGUGUGAAACAUGGAAACAGCUAACAAUGCUGAGGCUUCAUAUCCAGAGAACUGUCUUGGGGCCGUGUGGUGACUUGUCAGGAAUUGGGCGCAUCUUCGUGUGAACUCAACUCUUCAUUUCUGGGUCACUGCUUACCUACUGCACUGCCAUCUCGAAGCUCAGAUUACCUUUGCUUUGGAUGAGACUUUAUCUAACGUUUGAUGCUAUAUUUCCAAGUGUCAUUUGGAUUUGGUGAUAUUCAGCGAAGCGAACUGUUAAAAUUGUGCUUACUUUGGAUGACCUAUCAUUUUGGUCGUAUUCAGUAGUAUUCGUCGCAUUUGUACUUUCACCUUGUUCUGUCUUGCCUCGGUAAUUUGCAGGUCCUACCACUGAUCGAUCGUUGAACAUCUGAUUUGGUUAUUUAUCGCAUUAAGCCAAUCUUCUGCAGACAAUUGGGUACACAUAAUGUUCAAAUUGUAAACCACCUGUGUAGGUUCAAAUUGGAGACUGUUUGUAGCAUGAAACUGUUUUCUUUUUGUUC